rnacentral:lncRNA from 1 species
GAUGGGAUCCCCCCUAUUUUCUCUUCUUCCUAGAGCUUAUGAGCUGUAUAGGAAGACACUUAAUUUCAAUUUGAAUGCAAAGAGUCUUAUUUAAAAUAAAAUAAAAAUCUGCAACGAUACCUUUGGAGUUUCGUUUUACUAAAACAAAGUUUAGUGGAGUUUAAUUAAAGUUAAAGCUAUCGGAGAACAAAUUUGAUCUCCAUUGGUCUCGAAUCGAUGAAUUUGACACUUCCCAAGAGUCUUGUUUGACUCAUUGAGUCAAUCGCAAUUAAUUGCUUCAAUUUUAAAUUUUCCUUUUGUCAAAUUUGGAUGAACGUAUGAAAAGAUUUAAGAGCUUAUGAAUUUUGGAACCAAACAAUUUACACCUUUGGAUCUUGCAGGAUUUUAUUUUGCCUCCUUGGCUGCCCCGCCAUGUGUUUAUUAAAUGUCGUCCUUAUCAAAUACAAAUUGGUUCAUUUAGUCCACAUCGUACCCAUCGAAAUCUGAACGUCUUGGUGGUGUUGGAGCAUUCGCAUCGAUCGUGCACUCCCCGGCAAUUUUGAGGAGGUCAGCUCGUCAAUCACCUGGAAUGACCAUGGCCAUGGGCAUGGGUUAGGGUUUUGGAGGCGUGUGAGCAAAGAGCAGUGACAACGAGGGGAAAAUCAAGGAUUUGGAGCAAAGGAAGAAACGUGUGAAAAGGUCAAGGAACGAUGGGGAAGAAGUUGUCGUGGGGGUUUAAACGAAGUUUACGUAGAAGAGAAACUAAAUAAAAGGAAAGAUAAAAUUCUAAACCUGGCCAUGUUGAAUACUCUCGUCUCUUCAUCCAAGAAAAGAGAGACCCAUCAUAUGCUUUCUUCUCCCGAAAAGGAGUAAGAUCAGAUGUGAAAUGCUAAAAUCAAGGUGGACGAAUGUGAGUCUUAAGCGCGAAGCGAAAAAGGAUAAAAAGCAAAGCAAUAAUUUGUAUUCCAUCCCACUUUUCCUUUGAAGUUUGAAGUGUAGCUAGUUUCUUUUGCAAGAAAGACCACGAAGUGAAUUAUCUCACUUAUUCACUUCUCAGACCCUAAAAGUUGCUAAGUUCAGUUUUCUUUCAAAAGCUUAAACUUUGACUCUAGAAUUGCAAAGUUGAGAUUUUUAAGUUCGUCACUGUCUGAGCAAGACGCCAAUUCAUCUCAUAACAUACUUUGAUGGGACAUAUUUUUGGUUACCAUAUAAGUUUGGGAUUUUGAUGAUAAACGUACACUUUGGAUAAUUGGUAAUAUGGUAAAUAUAAAGGUCAUGAUUUUUUAUGGAAUCGCACACUCAAUGUUGUCGAAUUUGCUGCCCACCCAUUGCCAUCACUAGCCCUCAACUUCAUGCAUCGAAUAGCUUAUAUACUACUUUUAGCCCAUGGUAAACAUUUUUAUGGAUCGAAUAGCUUUACGUGAUUCAAACAUUGGAAAUUACAGAAACCAAUUUCCCAAAUAUGAUUUUUUUUUAAUCAAACUUUAGAAGGAAGAUCAUGAGGGGCAAUUCCAUUUUUUUUUUUCAUUUUUUGAGAAAAGUACUACCCUCCGGAACAAAAUUGUAUGAGUGUCUACACGACAACGUUGUUGAUGAAUCCAAACCAAAAAAAGAAGACAUUGAUAAAUGUCAGAUUUGUUUGCCAACAAACCAUAUAAUUGAUGCCAAUAAAGAGAUCCAAAGUGAACAAUCAUAUCCCUUCAUAUAAUUGAUGCCAAACUCAUUGAUUUUCCAAGACUUGGACAUAGUAUUGAUGAAAAGAAUCUUUAAUACCGCCGCCCUAAAAAUAGAAGCACUCCCAACAAGUAAACCGAGUGAUUGAAUCCCAUUAUCUGACGAAAUCAACUCAAUGAUGUAAGUUUAACAAUUACUCUCAUGAUGCAGAAAAGGAAUCGGAUCUAGUCGUGCAAAGAGGUAGCAGCACGACCACAACAUCAGUAAUAAUUAGGGUACUGAUACAUCAAUGAGGUCUACCCUUACCGGGUCUUUACUAAACUUUUUUUUUCCUUUUUACAGAUAAAGUAUGAAUUAGAUAGUAAAUCUCUCAAUAAUAAAUAGAUAAUAGGAAAUACGAUUCUCCAAUUUCUUUUUGAAUUCACAUAUGGCAUUUUUGUGUUAUUUUUUUUCAGUUACUAAUUCAAUUCUACUACCUUUUUAUAUUAUCGCAGAAGUUUUAUCACAUAAUUUGUUUUACCGUUGUAUCAUUUACAUGAAGAUUCAAAAUACGAUCUAACUAAAUGGAAUAAAUCAAAUCUCACUAAAUCCAAAUGUUAAACAGAAAAUGGAAUAGCCAGAUUAGAAUCUGACUUGACAUUCUAGAAAAACAGGAAUUCUUUCUAAUUAUUUUUUAACUACUAACUAAAACGUGUAAUGUAUUUCUAGCUGAUAUCUCCUUCUGUUUUCCUUUCUUGCCGACUAGCUCUAUACGUAAGGACCGGGUCGUGAUGGUCUGAAUGCUUCGCCGGGGAGUCUCGACUAAAAGCAGCCUCCCUUCGGCCGGGAUUCUCUUGCUUUUUAACCUUUUGCUUUUCACGCUAAAUCUUUGCUGAAGAUAUGGUCAUUCAUCAUGAGGGUGUGCUGCAAUUUCUCCGCUGCCGUGUCCUUCUUGACCACGUUCUUCUCCUCAUCAGAGCAAUCCACCGAAGCCCACCGAGAAUUCCACUUGCGCUAUUCUUUUAUUUUUUGUCUUUUUUUAAACUUUAUCUGCUUUCGGUUACUCAUGGCCCGGCCAUGUCCCCUCGUCCUUAUCUUGGUGUUCAGUUAGUCAACACGUUUCCACCGUAUCGUGUCCCACCAGAUUUUGCUCUCCAUUUUUGCAGAAUUUCAGCUCUCCCUUCCUGUUCCUUCGUGUGUUUUCACACUGCUAUUUCCCUUCCUUCGCACUCGCAUGAAUGCCGUAUCGAAAGUGGCCUCAAGUCAACCAUUUCGGUUCACAAAAAUUCGCAAUUUUAUUGGAAAGGGUCUGUAAUUUUAAAUGCGAAAGAAUGCAAUAGAGAUCAAGAAUGCAUGAUUACAAAUGUUUUUUUUUUAGUAAGGGGUCAAAUUAUCAAUGAUUUUUUUUUUUUUUGGUAACCAAGGAUCCGCCGGGCCUGCCAAGCAGCCCAUGGCCUGUAGAGUGCGUGAUGCACCUAGGACCAAGUGUCAAUACUUCAUGGACUGGCUUAGUAAUCCACUCUUGAGACCCCCACUUAAGUCAUGUUAGCAACGGGAGGGCUCGAAUUCUCGACCUCGGCAAUGGAUGAGAGAAUGCACAUCAACUGAGCUAUCCAUGUGUGGGUAAUUAUCAAUGAAUUUGAUUGCUGAAUUUCAUGAGAAUGCAGAUAGGACCUUUAGGCGAAAAUCUGUGUCAACAAUAAUUUUCCUCAAGUUAAUUAAUGGAGACCGAAACAUCACUGGAUUAGAAGGGCAAAGUCAAAGUCUACAAAGACUUGGACUACCAACCGUCCAUGGUGACCCAACUUUGCUCUGAGAAGGAUUCACAUCCAUGAAUGAGCCAAGUCUCUGAAGACUUGGACGACCAAAGGCACACGCUAAGGCAUUGGCGGGUCUUCUUUUCCACAUUAGGAAUUUUUUUUUUUUGACAAAUUCCACAUUAGGAUUAACCCAUCUUCUUUUUCUUUGCUUUUAUUGCUUUAUUUCUUUUCAUUAUCACUCUGCUUUUUUGACGAGAUUUUCCUUGGAUUCUCGCCGUGAAUGAUGGUUGUGGUACCGGUGGGUCAAUUACCUUGAUAGUUGAUUGAUAGGCGGCCACCAUUUGAUCAAUAAUUCUUUUUCUUUUCUUUUUUUCGCACAACAGCACUACUCUUUGAGGAUACAUAUGAGUUGGGGCUUCUAUAAGAGGGCAAGAGCCUCAACCCUGAACGCAGAAGGCGCCGCUUACUGCUCGCACCACUCCGUCCACCAACCUCCCGGCGGAAUCACGACGGACGCAAGUGAUCGAGCCUCCAGUAGGUCCAGGUUCGUAGGCACCGUCUAUGUUUAUCUUUAGUGUUCCAGCCUACGGUGGGUUCCAAAAUCGUGACGAUCCGUCGCUGGUCUUACUAGAUUCGCUCGAUUUUGGGUUCCAUCUGUUGAAACUCUUCAACUAAAGCAAACUCCACAAGGUUGCUUGGUUUUGGUUUUCUAUUCUUGAAGAUGGCCUGGUUUCUUGACUUCCAAAUAUUCCACAGUACUUUAGUAAUCGUCUGAUUCGAGACUUGGCUUCUUGCAUCCUGAUCUUGAGCUCUCUAGCUCUCAUCUCUGCUAUUCUUCCAUUCACCAGUGUAAAAUAUUCGUAAAUUACCAAGAUUAUCUAAAUUUUACCGACAUUCCAAUGAAGUAGUAAAUUAACUCACUUGAAAAUUUUCAUCAUUGUUGUAAGUAAAGUACCGACAUCUUUAGAAAUUUACCAACAUGCCAAUAAAGUAGUAAAUUACUGACUCCUACAAAAUUUUACGAGUGUGGUAAGUAUAUUACCGACACAGUCUAAGAAUUUACAAACACUACAUGGAAGUAUUAAAUUACCCACUCUCAAAUUUUACCAGUGUUAAUAAAUUACUAGCAAUAUCAAGAAUUCACUGACAUAAGAGUCAAGUGGUUAACUACCAACUCUUAUUACCAAAAUCAUAAAUAAAUUACUGGCACAUACAAGAAUUUAACAACAUUUUAAUGAAUUAAUAUAUUACCAACUCCUCUGAAAUUUACUUACCAGCACUAUAAAAAAAAUAUACCAAUAUAUUAAUGAAGGAGUUAACCCACUCCAAAGAAAUUUUAUCCAUGUGGUCAGUAGAUUGCCAACUCUUAUCAUCCAUUGAUUCUACACUUUAUCUUAAGAUGAAAUUGAAAGCAACAGGAUCCUUGAAUCACUUGAGGUGAUCAAAUCAUAAAGGUGGAGUCAUGGAGGCUAGAUUUAAACUACUUAAACUCAUACCCUUGUUCAAAUCCGAUUCAAACGUCGAGCUAUACUUGAAGUAGUGGCUACAAUAUUGGCUUAAUUUUUAUUUUAACACAUCAAAUGAAUAGCAGUGUAUCGGUAUUUUACCUUCAACUCGGAAUUCCUAUAGACUAACGGUCUCACCAUGUCCUUGGCAGAAAAAAUUUUGACACUCUUAGUAUAUUGGAAAGUGGAGGGGCACAUCUCUAGAACCAAUACAAAACAAAACUAACUUUCGAGCUUAGAUAUGGGUGGACUCUUUUCCUUUUGUUCUUUCUCAUAAUCGUAGUCUAUGAAGUUGGAGCCCAAUGCUAAUACAAGAAUCAUUCAAUGUGGAUAUCUUUAUUUUUUAGAUUCCUGACAAUGUGGCAUGUGCCUAUCCUAAUUUUAUAGAGUAAUUAUAGGGGAAGCUAAUACUCUAUGUCCAUUCUUCCCUAAAUAGAGCAAACUCUCAACCACCAUAAUUAGAUUAUUAAACAAACAAAUUAUAUCGGAAGUAUCAAUGAAGUUGCUGUUGAACCUUAUAUAAUGCAUUGGAUGUUGAAUAACAGAGAACCAUAUUAUUAUUUGGUUGUACAUUAUAUAAGUUCCAAACCUUAUAUUUUGUUAACUUUGUCAAUUGGUUGUACAUUAUAUAAGUUCCAAACCUUAUAUUUUGUUAACUUUGUCAAUGUCCGAUCAUGUUGCAAUAUCAUUUCGAAAUAGUACCACUAUGUCGUCUCGUGUGGCAUAUUUAGUCAUCUCGGAGCUUCUAAUUGGUGUCUCACAGUCAAGUAUAUUAACAAGUACAACGCUCCAUCAAUACAAAUAAUUAUCAAUAUCACUAGUAAACAAAUGCACACAAUCAUCCGGCACACAUAUAGUAGCAUAAAAUAUGUUUGUAUGUUACUCACAAAUAGAUGCAGAAACGAUGUUAAUAAUCUACUAAAAAUUUAGGGAAAUGAUUUUUUUUUUUUGAGGAAGUUACAAAUAUUAACUGGUGUCACUAGUAAAACAUAUGUAAGGAACUCGUAAUCAACUAGAGGAAAAACACAAAAAUGACUAUUCUUAAUAUUUCAAGCAAGUAAAUCAAUUGUUUCGUUUGCAUGUUACUAACAAUAAAAUUGCAACUCAUAAAAUUGAAACAAGGUUAAUAAUAUAGUAAGGAUUUAUACUUGUAAAAUAGUUAUUUUUUUGUAAUUUACUACCGUCCACCAAGACUACUAACAAAGUAUGCAAGCAACUCAUAGUUUACUACCAAAAAUCCUCGCCCACUUAUAAAAGCAAACAAUUGCUCGUAAGGUACAGGAGUAUUUUCCAUAUGGUAAAUCGAUUAUUCCGUUUACGUAGUAUUUACAGAUGAACACUGCUACUCAUAAAUUCGAAACAGUGUUAACACUAUAGUUGGAUUUAGAGGGGUAAAAUACUAUUUUGUUUGUAAGUUGGAACAUCAAUCGGGACUAUUAAUAAAAUAUAUAAGCAUUUAUAAUCAACGAGUGAAAAUUGCUAACCCAUUUGCAAAAUCUAAAAGAAAAAAAAUGGUAAUCUACUAUUUGGUUUGAGGAUGAAAAAACUUCUUCUUCUUUUUUAAUAACUUUCUAACAAUAGAUCAGACUCACAAGUUAUCAGUUAAUUUUUACUUACAAGUGGUACUUCAAGUUUAUAAUUUGUUCUUUAAAUCUAGCAUGCAUGAAUCAAAACUUCAUUUUUGGUUUACGGAAUUUUAGAACGUGUAAGAUUUCAACUACAACUAUCUCAUCUCAUGAAUAGCUUUGGUUAAUUUUUUGAUCCAUUUUAGAGAGAGCAGCGGUCAUAUUUGCCAAAGUGACAUUAAGAAGAAACAAUUGAUGUUGUAGAAAUUUGAGCAGUGUGGAACUCUUCUUUUUAAAAAGAAUGCUCCGCGUUGUGUUAUGUCAAAUGAGGACAUGUUAAUGUUCUCCCUUUGAGAUUUAAAACUCAUGGGGAAUAAUUAUGUUCUCAAGAUUUGAGAAGAGUGAACCGUUUUUUUCUUUAAAAAAAAAAAAUGAAAACUCAGCACUCUUCUAUGUUAAUGUUCUCCUUAGGAGAUUAAAUUCCCUUAAGAUGUUAAAACUCCCCUUGAGAUUUAAUACUCCUAUGUUCACGUGCAUUGUCGACUUAGGCAAGCUGGAGUGAUGUUGCAAUAGCUAAUCCAGGCUACUAAGUUUAGUGACCUACAUAGAUUUCCAUUUGUGAGUCGGGCUUCUAUACAUUUUCCAUCUCUAGCUCCCACUACUUUUGCUGAUAUAAUGUUUGGUAUUUCUUGAAGAUCAAAUUGAGUGAAAUCAAUGGAGGGGAGUGUAGAAACACAACAUACCUGGCAAAAUGAUGGAAUAGCAGGGAGCGCUUCUUUUACUCACACUACAACAGAAGGCCAGGGAAUGGUCAAUUCAUCAAGACACGAAUACGAAGUAUUCUUGAGUUUUAGAGGAAAAGAUACUCGAAUAAGUUUUACCAGCUUCCUUCAUACUAGUAUGAUGAAUGCAGGAAUCCGCGUCUAUAAGGAUGAUAGAGAAGUCCCCAAGGGGAAAAAAUUUGGCCCGGAACUUCUCCAAGCAAUUAAUCAAUCGAAGAUCUCAAUACCUAUAUUUUCAAAAGGUUAUGCCUUUAGCGUAUGGUGUCUCAAUGAGCUAGUCCAGAUGGUCGAGUGCCAAAAAACUAGGGGACAAAUGAUUAUGCCAAUUUUUUAUGAUGUGGCACCUUCAGAGGUUCGACACCAAACCGGGGGUUAUGGAAAGGCCUUUCUUUCACAUGAACAGAAAAAACGAUAUGAUGAAGAGACUAUGCGUCAGUGGAAGGCUGCUCUCAGUGCAGUUGGGGCAAUACAUGGGUGGGACUUGCACAACAUGCCCAACAGGUGACUACCUCUAUCAUUCCAUUUGAUGUGCCUAGUACCAUUAAAACUUUUAAUGUGGUUCAAAAUUGGUUUCUUUUCUAGAUUUGUGUGAUCCUCGUUGAAAUUUAAUUUUAUGCUAUUGAAAUUAUACUACAAAAAUCACAUAAAAUAAUGGUACAAUCCCAAUUUUUUCCCUUUUCAUUCCAAACAAUUUUUUUUUUUCAAUUUAGGUCAUUCAUUAAUCAUAUGUGCCAAUGCUAAUUCAUCUACAAUGGAGUAAAUCCUUACAAAAUGCAUUUCGAAUAGGUCUCUAGUUUUUACUUUGUUCUUGUCAGAAUAUAGUUUGGUUCAACACAAUUUUCUAACUCAUUGCCAUUUGACCUCCAACAAACACUAGGGAAGAAGGUGAGAUCACAAAUACAGUAACCCAAAAGGUUUUCAAUGAGUUGAAGAAGGCUUAUCUGGUGGUAUCAGAUUACUUGGUCAAUGUCGACAACCAUGUGGGUGCAAUCAUGGAAAUGAUAGGUGCUCAAACAAGUGAAACACGCAUCAUAGGAAUCUAUGGGAUGGGUGGUAUUGGAAAGACGACUAUUGCCAAAAUCAUCUACAAUCAACUUUCACAUGGAUUUGAGAAUUGUUGCUUUCUUCCCGAUAUCCAAGAAAUGUCAAAAGGUAACCGCAUUCCAUCCUUGCAGAAUCAGCUCAUCAACGACAUCCUAAAAAAAAAAUGGACAGACAUAAAAAACAUUGACGAUGGGAUUCAGGCAAUUAAAAAUAGGUUGUCUAAUAAGAGAGUUCUCCUUCUUCUUGAUGAUGUGGAAAAAGUUGAUCAUAUGCGUGCACUUGUAGGUAAGGGGAGUAAACUCAUAAUUACUACGAGAAACCAAGAUGUUCUCAUUGUUCCUGAAGACUCCACUUAUGAGGUUAAUGGUAUGGAUGAUUAUCAAUCUCUUCAACUUUUUAGCAAACAGGCCUUCAGAAGAGAUUCUCCUAUAGACGAAUAUAUCGACCUAUCCAAGAGGGCAGUACACAUUGCUGGAGGUCUUCCAUUAGCCCUUGAGGUCAUAGGUUCACUUUUAUCCGGCAAAAAUAAGGAAUGUGGGAUGCCACAUUGAAGAAGCUAGAAAGUGUUCCUCAUGAUAAAGUUCAGAGUAAGCUGAAAAUAAGUUAUGAUGCAUUAAAUAAUCGGCAGCGGCAUAUAUUCCUUGAUAUUGCUUGUCUAUUCAUUGGAUGUCUCAAAGACAUUGUGUUUUAUUUCUGGGAUGCAUCUAAACUUUUUCCGGAAGUAGACGUUGAAGUUUUGCAGAACAUGUCUUUAAUAAAGAUUGGAGAAGAUAAUAUAUUGUGGAUGCAUGAUCAACUCAGAGACCUUGGAAGAGAAAUAGUUCGUGAAGAAAGUGAGAUGAAUAUAGAGGAGCAACGUUGCGUGUGGAAUCCGGAGGAUGGAUUAAAUCUGCUAAGGAUACAUGAGGUAAAAUGCUUUGUGCAAUAGAUCUCCAAAUUAUUUAUAGACAUUUUCUUUUCCAAAAAAAGUAGUUACUUUUUGUGUUCUGUAGCACCAUCGCGACCUACUCAACCGAUAGUUUUGGUCUUUUAAGAUUUUAAAGGAAUGAUAAUAGUCAACUCCAACCCUUAAAAUAGUGAACUUGAAGAAAUGUGUUUCCUUUCAACUUUUUUGUUUAAAAUUUUUUCCUUUGGGCAGGAAAAGAAAAAAGUUGAAGCUCUUCGUCUCAAGUUUGAUGAUCAGCACCGUUUUACCUAUGACGACUUUAAGAGCCUGCCAUAUCUAACGUUCCUUGAAGUAGACGACUUGAAGGAAAAUUUUCGUGGAGAAAAGAUGCUUCGUUGGCUCAAAUGGCCAUCAUAUGCUCUUCCAACUAAUAUUUUCCAGAGGAAUUCAAAUCUCCUUCCACGAUUACGAUGGCUUUCUUGGCAUAAUAUUAGCCCAACAUUUAAGAUUGCAAAUUUCUCCGUAGAGAAUUUGAUUAUCCUUGAUCUAUCUCAGAGUGAAAUCACUCGUGAUUGGAAGGGGUGGAGCCACAUGAAGGUAUGUUAUAUGCUAGAGAACAUUUAUUCUUCCGUUUUAUUAGAUUCAAAAGUGAACUUUGCAUGAUUUUUCUUUCACAGGUGAUUAAGAAUUUGAAAGUUCUAAAUCUGGCCAAUUGUCGAUGCUUGAAGAGAACCCCUAACUUCUCAACUCAUUCAAAUUUAGAACGUUUGAUCCUAUCAAAGUGUUACUCAUUAAUCGAAAUUGAUAGAUCGAUUUGUCAGUUGAAACGCUUGGUUUUCUUAGAUGUAAGCGGUUGUUGGGGUCUUCAGAGGCUGCCAAAUGAGCUGGGGGAUCUUGCAAGCCUCAAAUACCUAUCUCUAAGUGGUUGCAGGGGAUUGAAGAGGCUUCCAAAUGAGCUGGGAGAUCUUGCAAGCCUCAAAUACCUAUCUCUAAGUUGUUGCAGGGGAUUGAAGAGGCUUCUGGAGACAAUCAGGAAUUUGGAAUCGCUGAUUGAGUUGAACAUGAGUGGCCUGACAAUCAAAGAACUACCCGAUUCCAUCAAAAAGUUGAAGAAUUUGAAAAUAGUGAAUAUGAAAAAUGUUUACAUAAGCAAAAUACAUGAUACCUUUUGGACAAUAGAGAAGCUUGAAAUAAUAGAACUCAGCUACAUUAAUUAUGAUGACAAGCACGUGGCAAUUGGUGAUUGCAUAUAUGAGAAUAAAUCCUUGAGGAUCUUGAGAUUGUCAAUGGCGGAGAGAAUACACGCCCCACCAAGGCUCCCUGAAAGUCUUUUGGAAUUAGAACUGAAGUGGUUGAGGGAGGGCCCAUUUCCGGAUCUCUCAAAUCUCGCUAACUUAAAGGUAUUGGAUCUGACCUUUGGCCCACCUAAUUCUGAUGGGAAAUAUUAUGGGCUUCUGGAAGAACCGAUACCACCGUGGAUUGGGAACUUAACCAAAUUGGAAUCUCUGAAAAUCUGCUUUCCCUGGAUGUUCGCCUCAUCGAGAAACCUCAGCCUCCCUCCUCAUCCGCGUCGCCUCCCGAGGCUUCCCUCAAAUUUAUCCUCCUUAACUUUCGAUGGUUGCCUGUCACUUUGCUCGAUGGAUCUAUCGAAUUUGAGGAAACUAUCGUCUCUCGACAUUUCGAGGUCUGCAGUUGCAGAGAUUGAAGGCCUUGGUUGUUUGGAGAACCUACGAGAUUUCAGCCUUUGGUCCGUCGUACAGCUGGUGAUGCUACCUGAUCUAAGCAAGUUAAACAAGCUAAGGCUUAUUGCAGUACAGGCGUGCGAUAAUCUGGUUGAGAUUCAAGGCGAAGUACCGCGGUUUUUGGAUCAUCUUAAAAUUGAUUACUGCCGUUCGUUACGGGAGUUCCCCGAUCUGUUCAGCUUAAUGGGUAAGAAAGAUGUUUGUAUGCAUAUUCUCGAUCAGGUGUUUUAUUAUACAGAUGGACAUCGAUUGCUGGUUUGUGGCUUUAAACAGAUGCAGAUCCCUGAUCUAAGCAAUUGUAACGGACUAACAAUUCUUACAGUAGAAUCUUGUCAUAAUCUGGUUGAGAUUCAAGGCGAACUACCCCAAUCUUUGGAAGAAUUGUACAUUAAAUCUUGUGAAUCUUUACAGAAGUUACCUGAUCUGUCAAGCUUGACGGGACUGAGAAAGGUUACAAUAAGACGUUGUGGGAAAUUAGCGGUGGAGGAAAUUUCUCGGCUUUGCUCGGAGAAGUCAAUCGAAUUUGUGGGAGAAGACGAUGAAGAAGACGAAUCUGUGGAAGAAGACGAUGAAGAAGACGAAUCUGAUGAAGAAGACGAUGAAGAAGAUGAAUGAGUGCACGUUGCACUUGGAAGCUUUUUGAUGCGCGACCGCAAAUUGUUCCCUUGUGUUCAAACCUUAAACAAAUUGAGGUAAGUACCAAUGUUUUCCUGUUUUUGGCAAUCAAAUUCUUUCACAUAUAUGAACAGAGAAGUUUUGCAUGCACUUUUUAACGACCUUUUAGCGGAUUCUUGUCUGAAAAUCUGAUGAAGGUAUUUAAAUUAUGAUGCCUCCGAACAGCCAGAGGGCUCUUAAUUAUGUACAAGUUUUUGUGUUCUUUUCCUAGUUUGGUUUGGCUUUUUUAGCUACAUUUUCUUAGGAUGGUUUCUCCUAGAGGUAUGCAUGUCGAUUGCAUCAUUUUUAUUUGAUACGUAACAAAUUAUUAGAGAUCGUUGUUGAUUUGCUGCUUCACACAUAUUUUGAAAUUGAUAACCUCACUUCACAUGGGAGAUAAAUUCACUAUGCUGUAAACAAAUAGAUGGAAUGUGUGUUGGAAGGUUAUACAACUAUGGUUCUCAUCCUGGGACUUUACAGCACAAUCAACUCAUUGUUGCGACUUUGAAGUAGACAGAUACUCUGUAUUGCCAUGCUUAAGUUCAGUUUAUUUUCAGGAAAUGUGUGCUUCUUAGUGGGAUUUGCAAAUGUUAUGGAGAAGUCAUAAAUGAGGGAGCCACUGCAAUUCUGAGACUACCAGUGUGGCAGCACUGGCUAAAGCAAUAGCACCAGAAUAUUUUAUCUCAGCAAUGAUGCCUUCGAUCAUAGCAAUCUUUGACGGGCACACUGACAAAAAUCAUUCUGUGCAGCAAACGUCGCCUAUAGGCGUAACUGAGAGAAUACAGCAUUCGCUGUACCAGUAGAGAAGGAGCGCCCUUUUGCUGAGACUUGAGAAUUGCACUCACUUACAAAAGAUUGGUAAGAAAAAGAGAGCACCUUCCCUUGGGGCUGCCUUCAGUUAAAAAUUGUUCCCCGGAAUAAAAACAUUUUUUUUUUAUUUCUGUCCCUGGAAUAAUUUUUGAAUAGAAACGUUACCAAACGCGCCAUAAAACUCCUACGAUCAUCAUUGAGACUAGGGCAAAGAAUCUGUACAUGAAUAAAGCAUGAGAGCAUUGAAUCCCCAAAAGUAUAUUUAUUAAACUCCCAAAUCUAUAUCGAGAGAUUUUUUGAGGAACGGAGAAAGGCCCUCAUCCCAGUUGAUCAUUAAAAUUAAUACCAUAAAGAAAAGGAUAAAUAAAUUCCUUGCCAAGAGGGCAUUUGGGUAUUUUGACAGCACCAAAAAGACAAAACGCAAUUGAUAGGGGAGAAAGGAGAGGAGGAGAGGGAAAAGGACAAGGGGCCAUGAUUAUGGCGGAUGGAACGUAGGCCUAUCAACUAUUGGUGGUUACAUGACUCACAUGGCAAAUGGAACGUAGACCUGUCAACUGUCGGUGGUCACAUGACUCACAUGAGGGGACUAAUGAUAUCGAGUGCAGUGGAGCGGGAGCCAAUUGAUAGGAAGAAGAUGCUAAAUCAAUCCGGGGUCAUGCGUACCAAUGGAUGAGAUGGAACGUAUGGAGAAUUCACAUGAUCCAUCUGUGCAUGAGUCGAGUUCACAUGCCCUGGUGCUCAAGCGGGCAAGACCUGCUCGAAGAAUAGGGAGGAAGUGAAGAGAGGUGUAAUCCAGUCCAUAUGCCGGAUUUGGUAGGGCAACCCCGAAAUCAUGGAUUUUUAGCCCAUGCGUCCCCAUUGAAAUUGCCAUAUUUUCCCAACUUCCUUUGUAUUUUUGAGGUUUGGAGAGCACGAAAAACAGACGGGGCGUUUUCUUCAAAAUAGACUUGAUACUUUUUCCCCGAUUGGGACACACCCCUGUCCUGAAAGCGACACUACAACUAUGUUCAAGCAAAGCCACGAGUGGGUCCCCGUGCCCUGUCAUUCUUGUUAAUUUGUGGGCAAGGGCGGGGGCAUUUAUGGCGACACGGUGCUCUCGGAUGAUUCAAUGGAAGAAGGAAGACGCAUUGGACACCGUGCGGUUCUAUUUCAGGGUGAAAGCAAACUCUACUAAGACAAUAUCAUUAGAAUACGAACUGCCCCCGGCUCUCAGCAUAGUCAACAAAUCCUGUGUACUACUUUUAAUGACCCAUGGAGAUCUCCAUUUGUAAUUUUGGCUUCUAAAAGUGACUUAUAUUUCACAAUGUGCUGCAUUGAUUUUGCUGUUAUACAGUUAGACUUUUUUUCUCAGAGAGAAGAUCAAGAGAGAUCAAUGAAGAGGAGGCAAUGCUUUAUUUAUUCAGCAUAGAAUUGAUCGUUAUCCAGAUCGUGAAAAGCUUAUGAUAUUGUAAGGGCCAACUCUUUACAAGUGACUUUGGUUGGCUAAAGAAUGGUUGAAAGAAGUUGACUUUGGCUGUUUUGGUUUCUAUCGAGUCAAUAUCGUGAAACUUUAGUUGCGAAGUGGCUCCUUUCUCUCAUGAAACACAAAAUGUUUAGUAGCCUCGGAAUUGAUUUAGAAACUUGAAAAAUACUCGCAAAACAAAUACCAUAUGUUCAAAAGAACUUUUAUCUUUAAAUAAUCUAGCCAAUCGUAUUAUCAAUCAAUAGAAAAGUUGAUAACAUCUAAUUUAAUUGAAUGGAAAGAACAAAAGUGCCGUAUACAUAUAAUUUUGCCUUGCGUCAAAAUACUAUCAUUAGAUUUAAAAUCGCAUUAGCUACAACUCUCAGAAAGAGAAAAAAAGAAGAUAGAACAGCGUAUGGAGUGGUGCAAGAAGACGGAAGUGUCACGGGAUUAGAAGGGCAAAGUCAAAGUCAACGAAGACUUGGACUACCAAGAGUCCAUGAUGAACCAGCUUGCUCUGGAAGGAAUCACACCAAUGAUCCAUUUACUUGGCACUCUGUGCCUCCCAAUCAGACUUCCAUAAAUUUAGAGAUUUUAUUAUAAAAAUAUUUCACUAAGAUCAUUCUGUAAAAUCCUACACUUAUUCAUUAUUCUCUCAUUCAACCCCCAAUAAUCAUAUGACAACAAAUCGAUGUCCAAUUCUCAUAUCCAUUGAUAAUUCCAUCUUACUAUUUCUUUCAAUCGAAUAACAUCAUGUGAAAACAAACUCUUAGGUUGUGUUUAUCUCACUGAGAAUUUUUUUUUGUUGCGGGAAAAUGUUUUAGGAAAUUCAAUCUCAGAAAAAGUAAACACAAAAUUUUGAUUGUGCUGAAAACAAGUUGAAGAAAUUUAUUUUAUCAUAAUUGGUAAUCAGUGAAUUCAUUAAGGGUGGCUUGUAUAGUUAAAAGUAACAUGUGAUGACUAAUAAACUGGAUAUGAUAUCAUCACCGUUUAUUCUAUAAUCCACGAAAAUAACAACGAUUACAAAGAAAUUAGGACAAAAAUCAAGGAAAACAAAUCUUCUUGCUAAGUCAUUUUUCUCUAAGCUUAUUUAUUACUUUUUAGCCCAUGGUAAACGUUUUUAUGGAUCGAGUAGCUUUACAUGAUUCAAACACUGGAAAGUAAGGAAAGAAAUAUUCCAAAAGUGAUUUUUCAUCAAACAAAGAAGGAAGAUCGUGAGGGGCAAUUCCAGUUUUUUUUUUUUUUUUUUGGGGAAAAGUAUUACCCUUCGGCCCAAAAUUGUACGAGUGUUUGCACGCUAACAUUGUUGAUGAAUCCAUACCCAAAAAAGACAUUGAUAGAUGUUAAAUUGGUAUGACGAUAGACCAUAUAAUUGAUGCCAAUAAAGAGAUCCAAAGUGAACAAUCAUAUCCCUUCAUAUUCUUUCUUGUCUCGAAAAGGAGAAGAACAUAAGUGAAAUGCUAAAAAGAAGGUGGACGAAUGUAAGGUCUCAAGCGCAUAGAGAAAGAGGAAAAGGCAAAGCAAGAAUAUAUUCCAUUACACUUUUGUUAAAGUUAGCAUUAUGUUCAUUUCAUGAAAAAUGAAUGAUAAUCAUCGUUUAUAUUUCUUGAAAUAAUUAAUUAAUGAAUUUUUUUUACUAUCAAUAAUAAUUUAUGUCUAUAUAUUUUCAUAGAUAAUGAAAAUAUCUUUAAUUUAUUCAUUUUUAUGAAUGAUAUAAAAUGUUUUCCAAAUCGUUCAUUUUUUAUGAAAUAAAUGGAGAAUAAGUUGAAGCUCGUUUAUUUUGCAUAUUAGUUUCAAAUUAAGGUCGGAGCUCUUUCAGCUAAAAUAGAGAGGAAUCCGUCCCAUUUAUUAUUCAAAAAAACCGCAUCUCCAAAUUAUACCACUUCUUGGACCCUAAAAAUUGUGAGAGACAACUUGUUAUCAAGGAGGUAUAAUUUUUUAAAAACUUAUAACUUUGACAAGUGGUCUAAAGUCACUUUAGACCAUACUAAAAUCGCAUCAUAUCCACAUUGGCUCCAUUUGCCUAUCAAUGUCCAAGCAAGUGGUCACAUUGGAUUUUUAACGGCCGUCUUGAAUGGAACUGUGACGCAUAAUAUUUGCAAGUCACUGAUACAAGUUUAUAUAUAGUAUUAGUAACAAGUAAAAGAAUUGGGUUUCGUUGUCACACCAGGCAAGGUUUAGGCUUUUUGGUGGAAUUCUCCUGAGUCAUGUCUGCUUCAUUUGUCUACUGUUGUCCAGGCAAACAGGCACAUUAAAUCUUUAAUGACCAUCUUGGAUGGAGAGUACUUUUGGAUUUUUGAUACAAGUUUCGAUUUUUUAUGAUAUCAAAAAAAGUUAGAAUAAUUAGUGUCAUAGUUAAUAUAGUUUAGGAUUUUUACGUGUCGCCCACCCAUUGCCAUCACAAGCCCUCACCUUCAUGUGUGAAUCCACCGGCGACCUCAACUCCUCACCAAUUUGACUUGUUUGCUAUCCUUUGGUCUCUUUUUUUCUCCCCAUGGAACUCAACCUAUGUGUAGAAGUCGCGACAGACGGAGGUUGCUGGCCUCGCACGGCUGUGGUUGCAUGUGGCCACGGUAUCGGGGCUCGACUCAAUUAAUUUGCUCGAUUUUUUAAAUUUUAGAACUUUGUAAGAUUUCAAACUACAACCAUCCCAUCAAAUGAAUUGGGUUGGAUAAUGUUUUGAUCUGAUCUAGAGAGACUAAUUGUCCAUAUUUCUAGAAGUGACAUUAGGAAGAAAUUAUUUAUAUUAUAGAGAUUCAAAAAGAUUUGAACUUUUGUCUUUUUUUUUUUAAUUUUAUUUUAAGGGGAAUAAAAACUUUGCACUUACCAAAAAAAAAAAAAUUGCACUGUGCUGUGUCCAAUAUAAAUGCAAUCAUGUUGUUUGUUGAGAUGUAAGACCCUUCGGGAAUUAUUUAAGUUCGUGAGACUCGAGUCAAAUUUUUUUAACAAGAAAACUCUGCAUUGUGCUAUGUCCAUAUUUGUAGAAGUGACAUUUGGAAGGAUACUCCGCUAGCCAUGGUCUGUUUGCUAGUUUAACCUUCCAAUGACAUUCCACCACUUUAAUACUUCAGCUUACACUUGUUUGCAAGCACAGCUGAAGUAUUUUUUUAAAUACAUUGAUUUUUUUUUUUUUUUGGUAAUAUGAAAGCCUUGGGCAAGAAUUCAAACAGUCACCGAAGUGUAGGAUUCGUAAUUUAGUUUUGCUCAUCAAAUAAAAGGAUGUGAUCAAAUAUGAACUCGAAAAGGAGAGUGGAGGGCCAAAUCUCUAGAAUCAACCUUAGAAAGGGACAAUUUUCGUUCCCAAGAUAUGAGAAGAGACAACUUACAUCAAAGCGGAUGUGCUUGGUUGGUCUUGGAGACCAACUUAUGCAUCAUAGCACGUGAAACGUUGUUGCUACUAUUCUUUUUUUUCUUCCUCAAAGCUAGUGUAGUGUGAACAAUGUUUAGGAAAUGCCAGAUGAAAGAUGGAGGCCUUUUCCGAUGUGUAGAGAAUAAUCCUUCAGAACCUUUUAUGAAAUUGCAGUUGAAUAUUAUCUCCUCAGAAGGCAUUCAGAGGGGGGAAAAAUAGUGUGCACCAUACACUAUAGAGUGUGAAUCCCAACACUUGCCCAUUCGCUCCUUGAGAUUUUAAAGUGCCGCUUACUCCCUUAGUAGUACCGAAACGCGACACGACACAUCAAUAUGUCAUUUAUAAAAAAUAAGGAGUUUCGACAUGUUGGGAUACGUUAUAUAUUAAAUAAAUAUUUUUAUUUUUAAUUAAUUUGAUUCAAAUUCAUAAAUAAUUAAUUAAAAGAAGAGCAUACAAUGAAAAUACACUAAUAAUAUUAAUGAAUCAAUUCAUUGGAAAUUAGAAAGAUAUAUUCAUAAUUAAUAUGUAUCCAUAUUUGGAAAUAUAUUUUUAAUUUUAACCAAAAUUAUUGAUGAAAUCGAUAAUUAAUAAGAAAUUAGAAUCAACUUGUUUAAAUAAAUUCAUAAUCUUCAAAUUCAUAAUCUUCUACAAUGAUAAAAAUUUAUUAUCAUUUAAAAUUCAGUACUUUUAUUUUUUAGAAUUAUUUUUUAAUCUUAUUUAUUUAUUCGAUUAAAAAAAAUCUCCUUGAGGGGUCCAUCGCCAACCCCCACUCCUUUCUUUCUUUCGUAUAUUUCCCCCCGGCCCCAAAUUUAUUUCAAUUUUUUUUCCCACUCUUCCCCACGUCAGACCAUUUCCCCCCCCCCACCCCCAAAUUUAUUUAACUCUUUUUCCCAUCCCCCACCCACGUGACAGGCUGUCACUUCACCCCCCAUCCANNNNNNNNNNNNNNNNNNNNNNNNNNNNNNNNNNNNNNNNNNNNNNNNNNNNNNNNNNNNNNNNNNNNNNNNNNNNNNNNNNNNNNNNNNNNNNNNNNNNUGACAGGCUGUCACUUCACCCCCCAUCAGCCUCUCUUUUUUAUCCUUUUUGAGUUACCAAAACCCAAGCAAGCGCGUCCUUCUCCUCCUCCUCUCGCCGCUCGCCGCACCCGCACGACCCCCUUCCUCUCCUUUUCCUCUCGAUACUUCUCCUCCUCCUCGCCGCACGACCCCCUUCCUCUCCUCUUCCUCUCUAUCCUUCUCCUCCUCCGCCUCGUCGCCGAUCCGUCGCAGCGUCAGUGACCGCCCUCGCCUCAGUCUCUACUCUUUGUCUGGCGGUUUCUCGCCGUCGCGGGCUCGCCGUUGCUCGUUACUCCAUCCUGAUCUUUAAGUGCCGCCUCUCAUCUCUGCUAUUCCACCAUUCCCCUGUAUUUCUAUCUGAAAACCUUCUCUUUGCUAACUCACAAAAAGCUUGAGCACUUGCUGUUGCCUGUAUUGUGACAGUUGCUGCCAUAGCUCUCUCUGCCAUCCUGUUCAAAGGAUUCCUGAAGAAAAGAGCUGGUCAGACCGCUGUGGAGGGCAGUGCAGAUAAUAAUUCAGCUACACAGAAUGGUACCGUAGAGAGGGCUGCUCGUACUUGCACUACACCACAAGUUGAGGAAAUGGCAACAUCUUCCGGAUAUGACUAUGAAGUAUUCUUGAGUUUCAGAGGGCUUGACACACGAUCAGCUUUUACCGACUUCCUUUAUACUUAUCUUAUAGAUGCAGGAAUCCGCACAUUUAGGGACGAUGACGCGCUCCGUGUCGGCGAAGAGUUUGCCCCAGAACUUCUUGAAGCAAUCAAUCAGUCGAAGAUCUUAAUACCUAUCUUUUCAAAAGGUUAUGCCUCUAGCGUAUGGUGUCUCAGAGAGCUAGUUCAAAUGGUCAAGUGCCAGAAAAAUGAAGGACAAAAGAUCAUGCCCAUUUUUUAUGAUGUGACACCUUCGGAGGUUCGACACCAAACCGGGAGUUUUGAAAAUGCUUUUGUUUCACACAAAAGAAAGAAGCGAUAUGAUGAAAAGACUAUAGCAGAGUGGAAGGAUGCUCUCACUACAGUCGCGGAUAUAAAUGGAUGGGACCUGCAAAGCAUGCCCAACAGGUGACUACUUUUAGCAUUCCAUCUCAUGUGCCUUGUAUCGUUAAACUCGAUGCAUUUAAAUUGGUUUCUUUUCUAAAUUUGUGUUAGUCUUGUUGAAAUUGAAUUGUAUGCAAUUGAAAUUAUGCAGCAAAAUCAGGCUAAAUAAUAUCACAAUGUCAAUUUUUGUCCCAUUUCAUUCCCAGCAAGCAACAUUUUUCGUUAGUUCAGAUCAUUCAUUUACCCUAAGUUCCAGUGCUAGUUUAUCAAAAUGGUAUAAAUCGUUGAGGAACGCAUUUAUAAUAGGUCUGUAGUUUUCAAUUUGGUUUUGUCAGAGCAUAGUUUGGCUUAACUCAAUUUUCUAACUCAUUCCCUUUUGACUUUCAACAAACAAUAGGCGAGAAGGUCAGUUUGCAAAAGAAAUCACGCAGAAGGUUUUCAAUGAGUUGAAAAGGGCUUAUUUGGUAGUAUCAAAUUACUUGGUCAAUGUCGACAACCAUGUGGAUGCAAUCAUGGAAUUGAUAGGUCCUCAUACAAGUGGAACACGGAUUAUAGGAAUCUAUGGGAUGGGCGGCAUCGGGAAGACGACAAUUGCCAAAAUCAUCUAUAAUCAGCUUAUAGAAAAAUUUGAGUGCUAUUGCUUUCUGUCUGACAUCCGUGAAACGUCAGAACAACGCGGGGGCAUUGAAUCCUUGCAAAAUCAGCUCAUCUCCAGCAUUCUCAAAAAGAAAUGCACAGAUAUAAGAAACAUUGAUGAUGGGAUUAAUACCAUCAAAGACAGAUUGUCUAAUAAAAGAGUCCUCCUCCUUCUCGAUGAUGUGCAUAAAAAGAAGCAUAUGGAUGCACUUGCAGGUGAGUGUGAUUGGUUUGGUAAAGGGAGCCUACUUAUUAUUACUACUAGAAAAAAAGAAGUUCUUGAUGUUCUUAAAGUGGACGGCUGUUAUGAGCUUUCGGGCAUGGAUCACGAUCAAUCUCUUCAACUCUUUAGCAAACAUGCCUUUAGAAGAGAUCAUCCUUUGGACGAGUAUAUCGACCAAUCCGAGAGGGCGAUAAAAAUUGCUGGAGGUCUUCCACUAGCUCUUGAGGUCAUGGGUUCACGUUUAUCUUGCACUACUGAAAAGAAAAAGUGGGAUUUCGAAUUACGUAAGUGGGAAAGUGAUCCUCAUAAGGAUGUCCAGAGUAGAUUGAAAAUAAGUUAUGAUGAAUUAGAAGAAAAGGAAAAGCAAAAGUUCCUUGAUAUAGCUUGUCUCUUAAUUGGAUAUGAUAAAGACAUUGUAGUUCAUUUUUGGGAAUCUGAAUUCCAUCCGGAAUAUGCCAUGGAUGUUUUGGAGAACAUGUCUUUGGUAAAGAUUAAAGAGGAUAAUAAAGUGUGGAUGCACGACCAACUUAGAGACCUUGGAAGACAAAUAGUUUGUCAAGAAACCAAUAUAAAUAAACAAAGUAGGGUGUGGGAUCGUGAGAAAGCGUUGGAUUUGCUGAAGAGCCCUAAGGUAAAAUCCCCUGUGCAUUAAUUUCCAAGUUACUUAUGGACAUUUUUGCUUUUUUAAGAUUAAUGGACGGUAGUACUCAACUCAGUCCCUUAAAAUAGUGAAUUUGGCUAAAUGUGUUUCCCUUCAACUCUCUUGUUUUUAAAAAUUUUCCUUUGGGCAGAUGAAGAAAAAAGUUGAAGCUCUUCGCCUCCGCUUGGACCAUCAGCACCGUUUUACCUACAAGGACUUUAAGAGCCUAUCAAGGCUAAGGUUCCUUAAAGUUGAUGACUUGGAGCAAACUUUUUGUGUAGAAAAGAUGCUUCUUCAGCACAAAGGGCCAUCAAGUGUUCUUCCAAUUGAUGUUUUGGAUUCAAAUCUCCUUCCAGAAUUACGCUGGCUUUCUUGGCAUAAUAUUCACCCAACAUUUGAGAUUGCAAAUUUCUCCGUAGAGAAUUUGACUAUCCUAGAUCUAUCUCGGAGUGAAAUUACUCAUGAUUGGAAGGGGUGGAGCCACAUGAAGGUAUGUCAUAUGCUAGACGAUACUUGUUCUUCCAUCUCAUUAAAUUUGAAAGUAAUCUGUGCAUGAUUUUUCUUUCACAGGGGAUUAAGAAUUUGAAAGUUCUGAAUCUGGCCCAUUGCCAAUGCUUGGAGAGAACCCCCAACUUCUCAGCUCAUUCAAAUUUGGAAUAUUUGAUCCUAUCAUGGUGUAAAUCAUUAAUCGAAAUUGAUAGAUCGAUUUCCCAGUUGAAACACUUGGUUUUCUUAGAUGUAAGCAAUUGUGGGAGUCUUCAGAGGCUGCCGGAUGAGUUGGGUAGAGAUCUGGUUUUCUUAGAUGUAAGCUAUUGUGAGAGUCUUCAGAGGCUGCCGGAUGAGUUGGGUAGAGAUCUUGCAAGCCUCAAAUACCUAUCUCUAAGGGGAUGCUCGAGUUUGAAGAGGCUUCCGGAGACAAUUGGGAAUUUGGAAUCGCUGAUUGAGUUGAACAUAGGUGGCCUUACAACGAAAAUCAAAGAACUACCCGAUUCCAUCAAAAAGUUGAAGAAUUUGAAAAUAGUGAAUAUGCAGUAUGGUGACAUAGGCAAAAUACACAAUACCUUUUGGACGAUGGAGAAGCUUGAAAAAAUAAAUAUCAUCCACGAGGCUUAUCAUUACGGGGGUUUACACGUGGAAAUUGGUGAUGGCAUCUAUGAGAAUAAAUCCUUGAGGAUCUUGAGAUUGGAAGGGGUGAGAAUACACGCCCUACCAAGGCUUCCCGAAAGUCUCAUCGAAUUACAAGUGGAGGAGUUGAGGGUGGUUCCAGAUCUCUCAAAUCUCGCUAACUUAAAGGUAUUGAAACUGGGCUUUGGCCCACCUGAUCCUGAUGGGAAAUUUUAUGGGUUUCUGGAAGAACUGACACCACGGGGGAUUGGGAACUUAACCAAAUUGAAGCCUCUGACACUCUGGUAUUCCAGGGGGAGCGCCUCAUCGACAGACCUGAGCCUCCCUCCUCAUCCGCGUCGCCUCACGGGGCUUCCCUCAAAUUUAUCCUCCUUAGAACUCCGUGAUUGCGACUCACUUUGCUCGAUGGAUCUAUCGAAUUUGAGGAAACUAUCGUCUCUCUUGAUUUGGGACUGUGCAGUUGCAGAGAUUGAAGGCCUUGGUUGUUUGGAGAACCUACGAGAUUUGAACCUUCAGGGCGACGGACAGCUGGCGAUGCUACCUGAUCUAAGCAAGUUAAACAAGCUGAGGGAAAUUAAAGUACGCAAUUGUGGUAAUCUGGUUGAGAUUCAAGGCGAACUACCGCGGUUUUUGGUUGAUAUUUUAAUUUAUCGCUGCGAUUCGUUACGGGAGUGCCCCGAUCUGUUCAGCUUACCCGAUCUGUUCAGCUUAAUGGGUAAGAAAGAUGUUUGUAUGCAUAUUCUCGAUCAGGUGUUUUAUUAUACAGAUGGACAUCGAUUGCUGGUUCGUGGCUUUAAACAGAUGCAGAUCCCUGAUCUAAGCAAUUGUAACGGACUAACAAUUCUUACAGUAGAAUCUUGUCAUAAUCUGGUUGAGAUUCAAGGCAAACUACCCCAAUCUUUGGAAGAAUUGUACAUUAAAUCUUGUGAAUCUUUACAGAAGUUACCUGAUCUGUCAAGCUUGACGGGACUGAGAAAGGUUACAAUAAGACGUUGUGGGAAAUUAGCGGUGGAGGAAAUUUCUCGGCUUUGCUCGGAGAAGUCAAUCAAAUUUCUGGGAGAAGACGAUGAAGAAGAUGAAUAAGUGCACGUUGCACUUGGAAGCUUUUUGAUGCGCGACCACAAAUUGUUCCCUUGUGUUCAAACCUUAAACGAAUUGAGGUAAGUACCAAUGUUUUCCUUUUUUUGGCAAUCAAAUUCUUUCACAUAUAUGAACAGAGAAGUUUUGCAUGCACUUUUUAACGACCUUUUAGCGGAUUCUUGUCUGAAAAUCUGAUGAAGGUAUUUAAAUUAUGAUGCCUCUGAACAGCCAGAGGGCUCUUAAUUAUGUACGAGUAUUUGUGUUCUUUUCCUAGUUUGGUUUGGCUUUUUUAGCUACAUUUUCUUAGGAUGGUUUCUCCUAGAGGUAUGCAUGUUGAUUGCAUCAUUUUUAUUUGAUAUGUAACAAAUUAUUAGAGAUCGUUGUUGAUUUGCUGCUUCACACAUAUUUUGAAAUUGAUAACCUCACUUCGCAUGGGAGAUAAAUUCGCUAUGCUGUAAACAAAUAGAUGGAAUGUGUGUUGGAAGGUCACACAACUAUGGUUCUCAUCCUGGGACUUUACAACACAAUCAACUCACUGUUGCGACUUUGACGUAGACAGACACUCUGUAUUGCCAUGCUUAAGUUCAGUUUAUUUUGCAGGAAAGGUGUGCUUCUUAGUGGGAUUUGCAAAUGUUAUGGAGAAGUCAUAAAUGAGGGAGCCACCGCAAUUCUGAGAUUACUGGUGUGGUAGCACUGGCUAAAGCAGCAGCACCAUAAUAUUUAUCUCAGCAAUGAUGCCUUCAAUCAUAGCAAUCUUUGACGGGCACACUGACAAAAAUCAUUCUGUGCAGCAAACAUCGCCUACAGGAGUAAUUGAGAGAAUGCAGCAUUCGCUGUACCAGUAAAGAAGGAGCACCCUUUUGCUGAGACUUGAGAAUUGCACUCACUUACAAAAGAUUGGUAAGAAAAAGAGAACACCUUCCCUUGGGGCUGCCUUCAGUAUUAGAACUGUGCAUUCUGAAGCAAUAUUGGCAUUGUUUUUGUCAUGAGAUCCACUCAAUUCUAGUAAAACACUGGCACUGCCACCAAAGUUGGUAAUGCGUCAUAUGCUGCUCGCCACCUCAGAAGAACUUUCAUCAAGUAGUGGUGGCUCUUCCAUGUACUUGAAAACUUUCGUAGAACCUGGUGAUCAUAAAAGAAGAGCUUUGCACAAGCCAAGCAUCAAUUUGAGAAAAUCUUCCAAAUUCUUCCCAUGUACAAACUCCAAAAGAUUUCCAAUCCACCGUGUUACUUUUAGCUGAGAAAGCAACUUGGGAUCCAUAUCCUGAGCCAAUGCCAGAGCCACGCGCAGCUCAACAUCAUUCACAUUUGCACAGGACAGAUCACCAAGUGAAAAUCUGAAGCAGUGGCUGACUGUCUUUAGGUGUGGAAUCUCAGAAAUUUUAGUCAAGUUGAACUUUAUGAGCAUCAGGGACAGCUUCUGCGCAAACAUUGGUAUUGUGGUCCUCAUCCUCAAUCAAGGUUGGGUAAAGAGGGAGAAAUUGCACCAAGGACAUGGAUUUCAAGUUUGCCAGCUUAAGCUCUAACUCUGGAGUUUUGAUUAGGAAAAUGAACGUCGCAUCAAACGGAAUCUUGAGGCACAGAAGUCUGGCAUCACCAUCUUUGUUGCCCUUAUACAGAACAUCCAGACUCAGCAAAAUCCCACAGAUGAAUACGUUAGAGCUUUCAGCUCUGUGAUAGACUCAACGCCAGCAUUUUGAGCCGGCAAUGCAGGUUCUAGGAGCGGAUCAGUGUUGUGCUCUUGUUUUCUUUUUCAAUCUUGAACUGCUUUUGGAUCGUGUUUGUAAUUAGUGUGCUGAAUUAUGCUUCGUGUGAGUGUGAACCAUCUAAGUUUUGCCUGUCCAGUGUUUGGUGAUCAUGUGCAAUUUUGGUGUUUGACGAAAUGAGUUAUGUGCUUGAGUCUGCGUGUGCUAGAAUGUCACCUUCAAGAAGCACCUGAAGCUGAAGCUGAAGCGCAAGGUCUAUUGUGACGGUUUCCUCUCACCUGCACCUCCACUGGCAAGGUACCUUCGCUUUCACUACUAAUCUCUGCUAGUGAUGUCCAGCUCAACCUGGUCUGCAAUUCAGUUACCUUUGAUUAGGCUUGGACAUGAUUCGGUUUGAUUGGCUAAUCUGUGUCAAAAUUGCUGGCUAUUGAUUUAUUACCGUUUUCCCCCAUAUUUAGGUUGCUCGAUCGAACUGAACAGCAGCAGCUUGAUGCUGCUUACGAUUUCAUUUUUUCUAUCAUCACGGAUUGUUCUGUUCUGUGCUUCUGGUUGUAAUACUCGCCGUGAUUGAGCUUGUUUUGAGUAGAUUAGUCCAUGCUGUGAUUGAUGGUCGGAUAAUGCCAUAUCAUGGCAGCGAGCAGCUGUUGGGAUGCAGGAUUUUGAAGAAUGAUGAAGUUAUUUGUUCUGGUCAGUCAC